rnacentral:rRNA from 1 species
UACGUAGGGGGCGAGCGUUGUCCGGAAUUAUUGGGCGUAAAGAGCGUGUAGGCGGUUCGGUAAGUCUGUCGUGAAAACCUGGGGCUCAACCCCAGGCGUGCGGUGGAUACUGCCGGGCUAGAGGAUGGCAGAGGGGGGUGGAAUUCCGCGUGUAGCAGUGAAAUGCGUAGAGAUGCGGAGGAACACCGAUGGCGAAGGCAGCCCCCUGGGCCAAUACUGACGCUCAGGCACGAAAGCGUGGGGAGCAAACAGG